AACCGUCUCGGCCUGAAAGCCUCUAUCCCCCCGUCCACAUCUGAUUGAGGGGGCCAAGGUUUGCAGCACAUUACCGUUUUAUUGAAUUAAUUACGAUAAGGAUCAUAGCUUUAAACGCGGGGUGAGGCGAGGAGUGUUUUUCAGCUUAGAUAGCUCCGAGCAAUUUCUCCCUGAACGAUCGCGCAGGGUUAUUGGAUCUGUCAGGCCUGAACUCGGUGGCACAGUAACGAACUCCAUAAGGCAAAGAGGUUGGGCACAGUUCGUGGCGGUGAUCCCUAUACCUCUGCUACACAGGGAAAUUUGUACUACAUACUGAACAAAUAAGGAGAGAGAGAUGCAGGCAGGGCCGUCGUUUCCAUGGUGCUGCAUGCAACUCCAAAGGCUUGGAGGAGAGAGCGGCGUUUCCCAGUGUCUCGCGCCAUAUACACUUUCACCGGAUGGAUUUAACUGUAUCAUUAUAUUAUGAUGCCGGUUGGAUUUGUAACGACCUUACUCAGUUUGACUUGUUUGCCUGUAUAAUAAGGCGACGUCCACGAGUCUACAGAAUCAACGCUAUAUAGGCCUAGUAAAAACGUUUCAAAUAGCCUAUGUUUUGCGUUGGGUCGCAGUUGGGAAAACCAAGAAGACCUCCCAUCCACUUCACAUCAAAUGAGUCAUCUUCCACCUCCAUCCCAAGAAUAGCUGAACAUUGGACUCCAGAGGGUCGGCCCCAAGACAUGGUGGUGGAGAAAAAUGGAGGCAGAGCUCCAACAACAUCAGCAGAGCUGGGGCACGGUGGAGAAGAUGGCCAGAGACAGACAGAAGGGGAGAGCCUUUGUUGCUGCCCUAUGUUCCAGCCGGCAUGACGGGGGAUGUGUGAGGUGUGUUUUUGGUAUUCCAGAGACCCGAGCAACAAGGCCUGAUUGGACAAACCAAAGAGCAUUCAAGCACCAACACCUGAGGUCGGUAUAGCCUAGAAAACCUGAUGGAGCAGCAUUGUGACGCGUCCUCCUUCCUCACAGAAGGAUCCAUCUCUUCUCCACGUGGCCCAAGAAACAGACAAAAAAGUGUGUCACAGGUAACAGAGAUAUGGCUUGGGCUGGUCCCACAUCAAUACCGUUAACGCUUAAACGGUCAAAAGGGAAAGGCGGAUCUGAGUAUUGGUUUUUAACUGAUCAAAUAGUAAUAGUUGUGAGGGAUUUAUUCGAUAUAAAGACUAAACGAAAACAUGUAAGGCAUGCAAAAAUUAUGUUUUUAAAAAAUCUGUUCUUCAACGGUUCAGGAAAUUUGGUAGAUGGUUAUAAUCAUUUACGCAGAUUAGAUUAAAUACCAAACAGUGCACAUCGCCUAAUAAUGCUCGGCUCAUUUAUAAGAGCUACGCAUGGCUACGUCUGAACGUGAUAGCCAGAUGCAGUAUAGCCCCACUGUGGGGAAUAAUAUUAUUGAGACAGUUAAAUUACUAUAACAAAUAUUGAUCGAGAAUUUGUGGAAACGUAUUAUUAAUGAGAACAUUCACAUUUACAUAAUUCAAAAAUUAUGGGUAUUGUUAACCACAAUUACAAAUGCAUGUUCUAUGUUUAUAGACUACCCUAUCCUAAACCUAAUUUCUGUCUUGUUCAAAUGGAUAUACUGCUGCCAGUGCAUGGCUUCACUCCGUGGGCUGUGACUCCGUGGGUUCGUCCCGGCCUGGUCCCUGCCUGACCUGGCGGAUCUCGUCCUCCGCAUUCCUCUCGCGCACUCUAUCAUAAACAUCCUCGCCUAGACCGAGCGCAGGAAGUGCGCGAGGACAGGAAUUUCACUCUUUCAAAGUGCAUUAAAGCUGAGGGCCGGUUAAGAGAUGGUGCUGCCAUGUUUGGUUUGUUAUCCCAUAGUAGGCCUACAAACGGGCUUUUCGACACACACAGAGGCGUAUUCACGCGCUCUAAGAAUUUUUGGUGUUGUUGUUAUUUCUCUGUAUCAUUGUGGUGGUUGCCACUAAUAAUCGGAUCGUUUAUUAAUGUCAUUGUUCAUAUUAUUAUUUUGACUUCUACUUACAGAAAACCAUAACAACCUCGGUGAAUUUACGACUUGAUAUAUCAUUACUGCAAUUCACGUGUCUGAGAAGCCGCAACAGAACCCUGUCAGCUGUGGAGUUGUUUUACAUUGUAUCUUUUUAUUGCACUAAGCGUUUAUUCGCCGAUGAUUGUUGGGGAUCAAGAGAUAAUUUGAGAGGGAUUUGUAGAGGGUGUGUAUUUAUCUAAGAGCAAAACAUAGGCUACCCUGCGUCUAUCUCAUCUCUCUCUCCUAUUCUCUCUGUUGUACAUCAGUGAUAAAGCUUUCUUUGCCUAUGGUUGAUUGCAUGUAUGCAUUUUCUUUGUCCAGAUAGGCUAUGAAUUCGUUCAAUAUAACAAUUGAAUUGUUAUUUAGCUUAAACUUGGUAGUAGGCCUAGUUAAUUCGUAUGCGUGUUGCGUCAUUUCGUUUAAUAUUUGAACAUAUCCAUCACCAAAUGACGAGUGCCAUUGGUAAUGAGAACUCCUAUUGAAAUCAGUCAGUCGUGGAAGAAUAAUGAUGCCUGGUGUUUUAGACAGUAUAUCCUAGCUUCAAUAGUAUAUCCAGAAGCUAUACCCAUCUUGCCCUCUAUACAACUAUUCUCUUUCUGCGCCAUUUUAUUGUGAAUAUUUGCAUGAUCCGUUUGGUGCAAUCUUGGUUCAUUGACUGUUAAUUUGUCAGUGCGCCUAUACCAUGUCUUAGCACACACAGUGUAAAGGUUAUAAUAGGUUCAUUAAAAAUAUACACCUUAUUUCGUCAAACAACAACUUUCCUUCAUUCACUUUUAUCCCAUUUAAAACGUGAUAUAAAGAAAACAAGCGACAAUCGAAUUAACAUUCCACAGCGAGCUCUAAAGCCAAGCUAUAGUUCAGGUUACACAUUGGCCUCGCGCUAGGGGUGUUUACUGAUUCUUAACAUGUUUAUUUACAUCUUGUUGUGACGUGACGCGCGUGACUGUGGCAGUCAGGCCCAGAUGCCUCACGCAGGUGAGCGAGGUGUCCGGGGGAAAUGUCGACCUCUCCUGCAGUCGUUUGGAGUGAGACUCAAGCAAGCGUCCAGAGUUGUCAAUAAAAGGUAUGUAUUGUUGAUAAAAAAAAUAAACAAUCGUGUGGUAUUCAUAAAAUGUUAGAUGGAAAAUAGAAACCAUAUAAGUGCCAUUAAUGGCUGAUAAAUACCUAUAGGCCAACACUUGGUUCCAAUACAGUAGAACCUAUUUUGCCAAGGGAUUCCUUGAAAUCAAAAAGCUUUCCGACUGUAAACCAUGCAGGGCAUAGACAAGUCCUGACCUAGGCAACAAUACAUUAUUUAUUGUCACAGGAAUGCUAAAUGGUUUUUCAAAAUAUUCCAGUUUUAACAAAAACAGUUAUUAAAACAGAUCUACAAUUUUAGCCUUGAGUUUGAGACUUUGUAGCCUUUUAAACAUUGUUUUGAAAUGCUCUAUUUUGUUUUCCUUCCCACGAUGUUCCAAAAUGUGUUUUUUUAUCGUUUUCUUUUCGUUUUCUUCAACCUUCUGAACCUUAAGUAGACCUACUGGUAUUCGAAUGGUGUUAUUACAGUCAUUGGUGUUAUUGUGCAAUAGACAUUACUGCCACUGUUGUUAUUACUGAUUGUUUAAUAACAAUAUGAUAAUAACAAAAUGAUUGUAUGAAAAUAUCUAUGAUUGUUGACCGUUCAGCAAUUUCUCUUCUCUCUAUCAAUUUGUGUUCCAUCUUCUAAUCAUCAUGGAGUUGGGCGCAUGGGAACAGAAGAGACCACCCUUUCUCCGCAACAAUAAAGAAGACUAAACAACUCUCCAAAUCACGAGGUAUUACUAAACACACGGGCACUGUCAGCACUGCCCAACGAAAGGAGCGAGUUUUGUGGUGUCUUCUUUGUUUUCACUCCCUUAAAAACCACUUUACCGCAUCUGUGUCGCUUUGUUAAAGUAGAACGUAAAUGAAGUAUAGGCCUGUAUUCACCUCCAUUUAAAAUAAUAAAACCAACAAACUGUAUCCUUGACUUUCAUGUGUGUUUGAUAUCCAAAAUAUAUUUGUAAUCUUUUUGAAAACGAAUGUUUGGGCAUUUUGGUGAAAUGAUAUCCCCAAACACAUUUGACUUGACCAUGCAUAAUACAAC
ensembl:lncRNA